UGUUAAAAAUUUCAUCUAUUUCUACUGUUAAAAACUGGCAUGUCGACUGACAGAAUAACAAGACAGUUACCUCGUUCUGAUGUAUAGUGACCAGUUUUUAUUGGUAGAACUGGAUGAAUUUUUUUAUCA
rnacentral:pre_miRNA from 1 species